UGCCUCGUCGAUCUCAUCUCCACCUCCAUCCCCAAACGACGGCGAUGAUCGAGGGCGCCGCCCCAGCUCCUGGCUGACGGAUUCGCCGGCUCCCCGCUCCUUGGGGCCAGCCCCUCCCACGGCGACGAUGGAGGGCGCUGCCCAGUUCCCGGCCGAUGGAUAUGCCGGCUCCCCUCUUCUCGGGGCCAGCCCCUCCCCCGUGCCGGGUCGAGCCUCGGCUUGGAGGCCCUUGGGGCUGCCGUCGGUGCGGGAGUCCCGCGCGGCCAUGCGGGCUGGGGACCGAGCGGCGGGCUGGCCACCUGUGCCCUGUCUACCCUGCUGCUGAGCCAUCCUUGUACCGUUGCACACAUCUUCGCACCACCCGGCCAGCCUCUGGUGCGCACCUCUGCUUUUACUAGCCGCGAACCACGAGCAUCACCUGUUUGGUGUUGCGCCUACGAGCGUGUUGGAGAAAUCUGUGUCCUGAGGGUGGCGGAGAUUGAUGCGGAGAGGAAGACGACGGCGACAGAGAGCGUGUGUACUCCAGCCUGUUGGAUUUAUCACAGAUGCCCCACUAAUUUGGCUUGAUGUACAAUGUCAGAUUCAAGAAAAAAAAUGUGUUUUCUAUGUUCUACUAUAGAUCACCAGACUGCGUUGUAUGGAGCGGAACAGAACCAACUGGUCUGCAUCUCCUUCAAUGGCACCCUGCAUCUCUAUCAAUAGCACUCUGCAGCAAGCUUGCUUUCUCUACAUCUACCAUCAACUACCAUGCAACAAGUUCAGUUUGAUGUUAAGAGGAGGCGUUACAGGUAUUUUUUAUGGCACCCCAUGUUAGUCAAUGGAUUUUGUUUAUGUUUCUGGUGGAGAUGAUUCAGGUGAAGUAAUGUUUGUUUCUUAUGAAUAAACUAAGCGAUGAAUUUAAGAUUACUUGCCUGGUAUAUCUAAUUGUAAUGUGUAUCAUGCUCAAGCAAAGGUAUGAUGACUGACUACUGAUAUUUCCUAAUACAUUUGUAUUUUUUGUUUUACUAACUUUCAGAUUUCUCAAAAUCAUGAUUAUUACAUAGUGUGUAUAAUCUUUUCUUGCUAGCUCUGUACUAUGAUUUUGAGGAAUCCGCCAAUGCAAAAAUAAGAUAGUUGUAUGUAGUACUCCAUCCGUCCGGAAAUACUUGUCAUCAAAAUGGAUAAAAGGAGAUGUAUCUAGACGUAUUUUAAUUCUAGAUACAUUCCUUUUUGUCCAUUUUGAUGACAAGUAUUUCCGGACGGAGGGAGUAGUUAUGUUAUACAGGUUCUGUUUGAUGUGUUUCGGAAGGGAGAGAUCGAUGAUUUUGGAAUAUAAAGCUUCAUAUGAUUUUUUUCCUCCAAGGCUCAAUUAUUCCAAAAUUUGGUGUUGACUAUCCCACGAUUUCAAGCUGACUAUCCCACGAGACAACAAUGGUUCAUAGAAUUUGGGUGUAUUCUCCCGUUGCAACGCACGGGCACCUUUACUAUAUGUCGAGUUAUGGUUUCAUGAUAAACAGAGCACGCACCAAAUUUUGAUGAAUUGCUUGAAGAAAAUGCAUCGGGUCUUUUCUUGCGUCCUUCAAGUCUUCAACCAGGAUACAUUUCUAGAGCUAAAAUUUCUGGGCAUCAAGAAGUAAUUAACUAUGCUUCAAGUAAGGAAGUUAUUUGGUAUAACUAUUUUGAGGACUAAAUUACUAGCUCAAUGUUUGGAAGUUAUUGAGCUGCAGAUAUGGCAUGUGCGUACACGAAGACCUGAUGCAUCAAAGCUCGGUGUGGACACACCUCUUCUUACAGGACAGAUGUUGAUUUUUCAUUUCCUUCCAACGCCAUUAAAUCCCAGUCUUAUGUAAUUUGAAAUGGCUCCAUCGUGUGUGAUGUAUCCCUCCCCUCAGCUUUUGGAGGAACAUGGUGCUAUUUGGUGCUUUUGUUUGUGGAAAAAAUGUCAUUAGUCAGGAACUUUCUAAGAUGGUCACCUGACUGCUCUAUUGUCAUGGACGUGGGAAAACCUUUGUCUAUAGUAUUUUCUUGGUACCAUCUC